AAUUAGCUGAAUUUCACAAAUAGCCUUUUUCUCAUAUUUAUUUUUAUAAGCAAAAGUUGAGAGUGAAAACAUUUAAUUGUAAACACAUAAGAGGCUUCAUCUCAUUUUCCUCUCAUAUAUGUACAUAAAAAGCACAAAUUUAAGCAGCCAAAAGUUUCUGAAUAUCUUUCUCGAUUUGUAAAGGCGACGUCGUUGGUGGAUACCUCUCAACAACUUUACCAUUUUUGUCCACAAGAAACUUCUCAAAGUUCCACUUAACCAGAUCACCUAAAAAUCCUCCUGCACUUGAUUUUAGGAACUGGUAAACUGGUGCUGUGUUCGGGCCAUUCACGUCGACCUUGUCAAAUAUUGGGAAUUCAGCUUUAAACCGUGUGCAAGCAAACUGUUUAAUCUCCGGAUUCGAUCCUGGCUCUUGAGCCCCAAACUGAUUACAUGGAAAAGCAAGAAUCUCAAGUCCUUGAUUUUUAUACUUCUCAUACACAGAAGAGAGCUCUGUGUAAUUUGAUGUCGUCAAGCCACAUCUGGAAGCAACGUUGACAAUUAGAAGAACCUUUCCCUUAAAUGUGCUAAGUGGAACAUCUUUGCCAUCAAUAUCCUUAACAGUGAAGUCAUAAAUAGUCUUCUCAGUAGCAGCUCUAGCAUAGAUGGUAUUGGCCAUAUUCUUAGAUUUCAAUGAAGACCCAAAUGAUUUAGCUGUUAACAAAGAAAACCCAUUUUGGAAAAAUGAAGAUUUGGAAGAAUUACAAGUGGGUUUGUAAGAAGAAGAAGAAGAAGAGUUACAGUAAAGAUUCAAUUUUGGUUUAGAAAAAAAGGUACAAAUUGGUGAAAAAGUUGAAGAAGAAGCAAAAGAAGCCAUUUGGGUGUUUGGAUUUCAGAUUUUACAAAACCUAAAUUUGAAGAACAACACUGAAUUUGGUGACUAUGGAUUCUUCAAGAAAUGAUAAAAAAAAAU
rnacentral:misc_RNA from 1 species